rnacentral:rRNA from 1 species
UACGUAGGGGCCGAGCGUUGUCCGGGAGUUGACUGGACGUAAAGGGCGUGCAGGCGGUGCGGUAAGUUUAGCGUGACAGUCUCCGGCUUAACUGGAGAAGGCCGCUGAAAACUGCUGGACUUGAGGGCCAGAGAGGGACAUAGAAUUCCGGGUGGAGUGGUGAAAUGCGUAGAUAUCCGGAGGAAUACCAAAGGCGAAGGCAGUGUCCUGGCUGGCAACUGACGCUGAGGCGCGAAAGCUAGGGGAGCGAACAGG